AGGACGAACGCUGGCGGCGUGCUUAACACAUGCAAGUCGAGCGAGCCUUCGGGCGAGCGGCGAACGGGUGAGUAACACGUGGGCAACCUGCCCCAAGCUCUGGGAUGACCCCCGGGAAACCGGAAUUAAUACCGGAUAUGACCUAGGCCGACAUCGGCUGUGGUGGAAAGUUUUUUCGGCUAGGGAUGGACUCGCGGCCUAUCAGCUAGUUGGUGGGGUAAUGGCCUACCAAGGCGACGACGGGUAG
rnacentral:rRNA from 1 species